rnacentral:rRNA from 1 species
AGCGAACGCUGGCGGCAGGCCUAACACAUGCAAGUCGAGCGGCCCUUCGGGGCAGCGGCGGACGGGUGAGUAACGCGUGGGAACGUGCCCUUUGGUACGGAACAACUGAGGGAAACUUCAGCUAAUACCGUAUGUGCCCUACGGGGGAAAGAUUUAUCGCCAUUGGAGCGGCCCGCGUUAGAUUAGCUAGUUGGUAGGGUAAUGGCCUACCAAGGCGACGAUCUAUAGCUGGUCUGAGAGGAUAAUCAGCCACACUGGGACUGAGACACGGCCCAGACUCCUACGGGAGGCAGCAGUGGGGAAUCUUGCGCAAUGGGCGAAAGCCUGACGCAGCCAUGCCGCGUGAAUGACGAAGGUCUUAGGAUUGUAAAAUUCUUUCACCGGGGACGAUAAUGAUGGUACCCGGAGAAGAAGCCCCGGCUAACUUCGUGCCAGCCGCCGCAGUAACAC